CGUGGACCCCCCGGCUUUGUGUCUGUCGGUGUCGGCGUGUUUUGUCCCGGUUCAGGCUCCUCUGAAAAACGGCAGGGAGGAACGAGAGGCGGACACCAGCCCCAUGCUCCACCUCCUUGACAGGGGUUUUCCUCCUUCUCCUCCCCUUUCUCCCUCCGGCUCUCCGCGGCCCUCUCUCCUCCCUCUCCCCUCCCUCUCUCCACUCGGGUCUCCGGGUUUCUCUCCGGUGUCACGUUACUGCCUCUGCCUGGGGAGGGGCGGGGGGCGCGGCGAUGAUUCGCAACGAGGAAGAAAGUUUCUGGGUGUUUUUUCCUUCCCCCUUUCGCUACAAUCUGGCCUCCGUGCCUGCGCCACCAGCGACCUCUUGGGGGCCCCGCUGACUUCCCUCUCGUAAACAGUCACGGGCAGGAAGAAGCACGACUUCUUUUACUGUGCAUUUCAUUGCAGAAGCUCGGUUCUCCUUCUGCGUCCCGAACUGUUCGCCGACGGCCGAUCACAGGCACCGGGAUAGAGAUUCAAGACUUUGCUGCGAUGGUGAAAGAGCAAGUGGUGUAAAUUAGAAUUCAACGCUCCCCGUAGGGCCAGGCUUUCGCCCGGACUCCUGAGCAGAAACAGCUUUCUUCUCGCUUGUUCCUCGUGCUGCAGCUACUCAUCCACGGUAGCGACCAGAGAGAGACAAGGGUGCGAGGUACGAAGAGACUCAAGGAGGUCAUGCCGCUAGCAGAUGCAAAGGGGAAAGACCCUACACUCCCACUUCAUCCUGCCUCCCUCCCUUCCAAGGGAAAGUAACUCCUGGACCUGGGCAGAAAGGCUGCAGCAAAUACAGAUCAGCUGAUGGGAAUGGAUGGGCCAUGCAGGAAAGGGCUGCCCUCAUCAGCCACCCUUUUCGUAAGAAUCAUUUACUGCUCUGUAUAGAAGCUGUAACACCUGAGGCUUUAGUGACUUGUCCAAGGCCACAAGGGCUACUAGCAAUCGGCUUGGGAGCUGCAUUCAAACCUGUUUGAGCCUGGAGCUCACUAUACUAACCACUACACAGAACUGUCACCCAGCCAGGGCCCUUUUGUCUCACGAUUUGCAGGGUGAUUAGAGGGUGAGAUAGAACUCAUUUAGCCCAGGCCACAGUGAGAAACGGAAACCUCAGCUUUUGAUGCUUAUCUCUCUCUCCCUACUCACUCUGUACUGUAGCUGACAACCAGAUUGAAAGAAGAACCAGGAGUCAGGGACCAUGAUAACUCUAUGACUGUCCUGAAAACCUCUAUAAAGUCGGGGUAGCUGAAACAUUUUUAACGGAAAAUUAGGGAAUAGGAUCCUGAGAUCAAAAGCUUACAAUUUAAGAAUAAUUUGGUUGAACCAAAACCCAUAUGACAGAAAUCUGAGCAACCAUGAGGUUAUAACAAGAAGAAAGGAAAUAAACAUCUCAAAAUAAA